UGGCAUUGUUCUGUCAAGAUAACUAUGUCAGCUAUCUAAGCAACGCCUCAUUUGACAUGCUUCAAGACAACAGCUCGAGAAACUAUUUCUUUGAAGAACGCCCACAUCCACUACUUUGAACUACUUUACACCUACCGAACACAUCCUUGUUGGGCUUUUCUUACACUGCUGACACCAAAGUUUCGAUCCGCAGAUCUUAUUUCCACUUUUCUCUGUUUGUUUCUAGUCGACAGUUUCGGUUCUUAGAAUGAGACGAAAAAGGGAGAAAAAAAAAAGCGAGAUUACUUCAGUGUGAGAUUGGCGUCAACAGGUAGGCGUAGGCACGAGGAGACGACGUGCAGAUCAAGAAUCAUAAUCAUUAAACAGAAGAAAUCUACACGCUGGUUCUUUAAAGUCUCUGUUACACUCUGGUUGCAACAAUACAUUCACAAGAUGGACAAUAAGCUUCAUAUAUCUUUCCUAGUUUACUCAAUCAAAGUCUUGCUUUCUCAUAGUAACUGAGACCUAUCAUGUGCAGUUGAUAGAUCUAGAUCUAGUCUAUAGGGGUCUAUAUUACAGGCCUACAAGAACACAUUGAACUAGCCACAAAAAGGGGCACAACUUACAGAGGUGACGAAGUGAGUCUAGUUACGAGCAGCGACAAGAGAUGCUGGCAGAAUGGACAGUGUCCACGUUUUUGUUCUU